UACGGGGGGAGCAAGCGUUGUUCGGAUUUACUGGGCGUAAAGGGCGCGUAGGCGGCGCAACAAGUCACUUGUGAAAUCUCCGGGCUUAACCCGGAGCGGUCAAGUGAUACUGUCGUGCUAGAGUGCGGAAGGGGCUACUGGAAUUCUCGGUGUAGCGGUGAAAUGCGUAGAUAUGCCAUAGAACACCAAUUGCGAAGGCAGCUGGCUAGACCUGUAUUGACGCUGAGGCACGAAAGCGUGGGGAUCGAACAGG
rnacentral:rRNA from 1 species